rnacentral:piRNA from 1 species
UGACAAUGUGUUCGAAGUAUAUUUCAA